GAUGAACGCUGACAGAAUGCUUAACACAUGCAAGUCUUUGGCGAAGCUGUGCUUGCACAGCCUAGCCAAGGCGGACGGGUGAGUAACGCGUAAGGAACUUGCCCUGCAGUCAGGGAUAACAGACGGAAACGACUGAUAAGACCUGGUAAAGUCAGGCGGACUCAUGUCCAACCUGAUGAAAAGAGAUGCUGCAGGAGAGCCUUGCGUCCUAUUAGCUUGUUGGUGGGGUAACGGCCCACCAAGGCGAUGAUAGGUAGCCGGCCUGAGAGGGUGGACGGCCACAAGGGGACUGAGAUACGGCCCUUACUCCUACGGGAGGCAGCAGUGGGGAAUAUUGGACAAUGGGGGCAACCCUGAUCCAGCAAUUCUGUGUGCACGAUGAAGGUUUUCGGAUUGUAAAGUGCUUUCAGCAGGGAAGAAAAAAAUGACGGUACCUGCAGAAGAAGCGACGGCUAAAUACGUG
rnacentral:rRNA from 1 species